GUGCCCGGCGCCUCCACCAUAGGGGGGCGAAACAGGCUCGACACGCGUGGUAAAGACGGACUUUUCGCUCGGCAUGGUUCCGCCGUCAUCGGGCCGUAUCACAAGUGCCAAUGACAAUCAUGAGGCGCUCGCCGUCGCUGCAUAAGCGAGAGGCGCGGUUCGGGGGGCACCGGGCAACAGAAGCCCCCCACU
rnacentral:tmRNA from 1 species